GACGAACGCUGGCGGCGUGCUUAACACAUGCAAGUCGAACGGAAAGGCCCUGCUUUUGUGGGGUGCUCGAGUGGCGAACGGGUGAGUAACACGUGAGUAACCUGCCCUUGACUUUGGGAUAACUUCAGGAAACUGGGGCUAAUACCGGAUAGGAGCUCCUGCUGCAUGGUGGGGGUUGGAAAGUUUCGGCGGUUGGGGAUGGACUCGCGGCUUAUCAGCUUGUUGGUGGGGUAGUGGCUUACCAAGGCUUUGACGGGUAGCCGGCCUGAGAGGGUGACCGGCAACAUUGGGACUGAGAUACGGCCCAGACUCCUACGGGAGGCAGCAGUGGGGAAUAUUGCACAAUGGGCGGAAGCCUGAUGCAGCAACGCCGCGUGCGGGAUGACGGCCUUCGGGUUGUAAACCGCUUUCGCCUGUGACGAAGCGUGAGUGACAGUAAUGGGUAAAGAAGCACCGGCUAACUACGUG
rnacentral:rRNA from 1 species